UCCAUACUCUGACUACACGCUGUGUAAAGAAGUGCUUCCUUAAAUCCAGUUUGAAAUGUUCUCCCGCUAAUUUCCACCUAUGGCCACGAGUUUAAUUUAUGGUGGUUUCAGUAAUCCCACUCUGAGGACCUAAAUCAGGGGUGGCCAAUCAUCCACAAAAGGCCGGUGUGUAUGCAGGUUUUUUGGGGUAACCUUUAGGUCAGCUGUUCAAACCCAGGUGUGAGGACUCUUCAGCCAAUCAGUCCUUUAAUUAGUUACCUAAUUAGGAAGUUGCAGCGAAAACCUGCAUACACACUGGCCCUUUGCGGAUAAGAUUGGCCACCCCUGACUUAAAUAAUCUUAAUGACUUAAUCACCAAUAAACUCAGACAUGCAUAGCAUGCCACUUUGUGCCCUUUCUUCCAUGCUGUCCUUGCAUAUAGUUCCUACCAUGGUUUGCUUUGCUGUAUGAGGAUGCUUCAGUCCCUCAGAAUAACAAGUACAGAUGCAUGGUUUUCCUAGUGACAUGGAGAGGAGAAAAAAACAGUUCUCUGAAGUCAACAGGAGAAAUCUCACUGUAACUAAGGAGGGCAAAAAAAAUGCGAGGUAAUCAUAUUCAAAUGCUGCAUUUACAUAUUUUCACAAAGAACACCAUUGGUAAGCUUAAUGUUUGGUUUAUUAAAAAUAAGGAACAGGGAAAAGCUUUCAAAACCUAGAGAGUUGAGAUUACAUGCUCUGAUAUUAUACAGUAUGUUACUAAUAAUUAACUCCCACCACCCUGCAAAAAAUAAAAAUCACAUUUAGAAGUAUUUUUCCUCUAAUUCCACAAUGUUGGAUGAAAUAACAUGAAGAGAAUGGAAUUUACAAUUAAUUGGCUGUUCGUAGUAUGUUAUAUGUUGCUUUAUACCCAGUAUUUUAACCUUAUCUGGUAACGUUCCCUAAAUCCAGUAAUUUAGUGUUUAAUAUCUCAAGUAAUUUAUUGACUAAUGUAUCGACAAUGAAAAACAGAAUCGAACUGGAAUGUCUGUCGUAAAGUUGAAAUAUCGUACCAUGGACCAUCGUAAUUCGGGGAGCAUCUGUCUUUCAGUCUAACUUCCGGAAAAUAUCUCUCUCUACACAGCUCUGGGCUGCACUAGCUUUCCCCCAGAAACCCGCCCCACCCCUGUCAAAAUUGAUUGGUUUACAGCCACCAAUACUUCCACUGCAAUAUUUCCAAUAAAGUGGCCAGUAAGUGUAUGUCACUAAGCAAUGUGAAAUUAAGUUCUUUAGCUUUGGGUGAAAUAGGGAAGUUGAUUAAUAAUGUUAUUUGUCUAUCCAUCAUUUAAUUUCAGGAUGAAAUCAGGUGAUAUGGAGGUUGCGACUGAUGCUGAAUGUUGUCACUUUUAAACAUGCGUAUAAACUGCAGUGCACGGGUGCUUGCUAUUUCUGUCAGUUUAAAUAGUAUUUUUUUACAUUGUGUAUAUUUAGACCUGAGAGCUAUGUGAGAGAUGCCCAACGGUGAUAAAGUGAUCUGCGUCUUUGACUAUGACGGCAGGACACCUUUCACCUUUCAUGUCCUCUGAGGUGUGACAGACCCCCUGAUAGUCGGCCUGCAUUGGCUGAGGCUGGCUGGGGCUGAAUGGGAGAACUUGAUUUUUAUUAUCAUGCUGGUGAUGAAACGUUGCACCAAGCCCGACAAUUAUUCUAACAUUGAUGGUAUGGAGUUCCAUUAUAAAAAUUUUGGCAAUGGGGGAGAACGAACCACUGUUAUCAAGCAGGAUCUGAUCAAUCAUGUAGGCGAGAGGGUGGUUGAUGUAUCUCAGUGCCCAAAAUGCAUAUGUUCAGGAAUGCAAAUACCUUACAUGCUUUGGAUGCAGAUAACACCCCAUUCCUGCAAUUAUUUCCUCACACUGUUUAAGGAGAGUCAGACCCGUAAGGAGAUAAACGGUGGUAAAAACACAAAAAUUACAAUUUAAGGAUCACCUCAACCAGCUGCAUAUACUGUAAAGUUGAUACUUUUACAUUCCAUCAUAAACAUUAUGGCCUCACCUACAGAUUCUUGCUACAAAGUGAUCAUGAUAUCAUCCAGCGAUGAGAGCGGGGAGUCUGAGGCAUCUCAUUCUCCAGCUCCACCUCCAUCACUGGUCUCUGAGCGGGCAGAGGGGCCGCCAAACGAAGGUCUGCAGAUUGCUCCUUGGGGAUGACCAAGAGACCCUGGACAUCCAAGUUCCAGUUAACAGGUUGGAGGGCACCAUGGAAGCUUUUUUCUAUGAUCUACGAGAGUGACGAGAUGGCAUGUAUGAAAUUGCUAAACUGGAAGAGGUGGUGAUUCAACACAAUUCUGUACUUAAACCGAUUGUGGAAGAUUUUCUGGCUCGUUGGGAGGCUGACAACUAAAACCAGCUCGCAAUGGGAAAUGCUAUUAGUAACGCCUUUCGUGAGUUCAUAUCCACUGUUGAUGCAUGCCUUGAUAAAAAAGUCUGCCCUGAAAACAAAUGAAUUUUGGGAUGUUUCGAGGGGUGAUUACACAUGUUGCUGAUUUCAUAGAUUGUUAUUUGACAUCACUGGAGUCGGUGAUUCUUAUCACUGCAGAAAAGCAUUACUUACCCAAGUGUUGGGAAGAGAAGAAACUCUGGAGUCUCACAUGUCCUUGUCUGUCUUAUAUUCCUGUCAAUGUAUUUGAUGGUAGUCACAGAUUUAUAUUUUAUGCCUUAAUUGUACAUGUCAAUGCCCGUAUCACUGAAAAACCCAAUGCAUUGAUCUUAUUGCUUGGAACGUCACUGAACAACUGUCACAGCUGUAAAGAAUAAAAAAAAAAAAAAACUGUACACACUUUUGAAAAACUA